AGUGCUACGUUAGGAUAGCGGCGUUCGAUAAGUC
rnacentral:ribozyme from 1 species